rnacentral:sRNA from 1 species
AGAACAUGUUCAGUCUCACUCCUCCUCCCAGGGACUGAACAUGAAGCGCGGCACUCCUCCUCCCAAAGCCGCGUUUUCCAGAUCAGCCCGCUUCGCACUCCUCCUCCCAGCGAAGCGGGCUUUCU